rnacentral:lncRNA from 1 species
CUCAAUUUGAAGGAGCAAACCAACGAACUGUGCAUUUCUUUCCCUCGAUUUGAAUCGCUUUCCUUACUUCGAUCGACCCACCCCAGCUUCUUCUCUCUUAGAGAUCCAUAGCAGAUUCUCUCCCUCUUUUCCAGCCUCUCCAAUCGAUCCCAAUUAUUCUCUUCCUCCUCUCUCAAACCUUAGAUCUAGGAUCAAAGUCUGCUAUUCAAAAUUAAAUCGUCAAUCCCUUCAUUUCCUUGCUCCCAAAAAAUCCGUAGGAUUGAUGGAUAUCUGUUGCUCCAGUUCAAGGUAACAUUUUUUACCUAAUUCUCUUUGAUUUCAAUAUAAAAGUAAUGCAUCAAUCAAAUGUAUAAGUUUUUAAGAAAAAUUACCUGAAACACCAAAGUCUAUAAGUCGAUGACGUGUUUUUAAAAAAAAAUUAACAAACAUUUUUUAUUAAGUAUUAAAGUUUGAAAUUAAUACAACCAUAAAUCUAUAAGUCAAUAACACAAACACAAAUCAAAUAUUCACAUCAAUAAAAUAUUAUAAAUGUUUAAUUUCAAAAGUUUAUACAACUUGUCUUUUACUUUCACCAACUCAACCUACAGUAAUUGUUACUAGCCUACAUUGUUUAAAAAUAAAAAAUAAUCAAGAUAUGGUAUUCAAUUAAAUAAUAAUACUUCAUAAAUGUCUAUUUUUUUAAAAGAAAAUUAAAAGGAUAGAUAGGCUGUAAACAUGUUAGAGAAAUUUAACCAUAACCUAACCUAUUUAAUUAAACAUGUUAGAUGGAUUGAGUUGUAAUUAAAUGAAUUGAAAUUUUCAACCUAACCUACAAAUUAUUAGGCUAGAUUCGGAUUGAAUUGACGGGUUCAUUUAAAUAUCCUCAUUUCAACUAUAUAAAGAAAAAAAAUUACAAUAUUAUAUGCUAUGAAACAAUUAUUUAGCUCCCAUAAUUUACCAAUCAAUCAAUACUUUGCCUAUAUCACACACUAAUAAUCUAUGUUUUGAUGGAAGCUUCUGGCUAUUUAGAUUUCCUAUUUGGUUAUCAAACCACGUGAUGUGUUUUAUAUUGAUUAUUUAGAAAAUUGCCAUUAAAGUGUACACUCAAGAAAGUGUAAUGUCGGAGACGCAAUCCAGUUUCAUUAAUUUAAAUCCAAAGUUAUAAUAUAAUAUAUUUUAUAACACUCCAAAUCCGUCAUAUGAUAUUUUAUACUAAAAAACUUUAAAUAGGCAAAAAUAUAUACAUUCAAAUUUUGAAGUAUGCAACUCUGAACUCUUGGAGUUUUAUUUUUUUAUUUUUAUUUUUAUUUUUCAAUUGGAUUUGACAUUUUAAUCAAAAAGCUCCUCUCUCAUUUCAUGAUGGUUUUGUGAGACACAAAAUCGGUUUGUACUCAAAACUAAGGAGGAUUUAAAUACAAUUCAUUUCAUGUCAAUUGAAUUAAGGGGGAAUUUUGGCUUCAAAUUUAACCACAUAUUUUUUUUGUUACCCCAUAUUUGAAUUUUCAAAUGUUUUGUCAAAUUUGAAAGAAAAAAAAAGUCUUGUGAGAAAAAUUGGCAUUCGACCCCAUGAACAUCCAUAUCUAAAAAUGUUCACUUUUAACCGGUCCUUGUGGUUUUUUGCAUUAUAGUCCAAUGGUAACAAAAUAAUAUUUGUUAGGUGUUACAUGUUCAUAGUAAAGAUUUAUAAAAAGUAUUUGUAGUGAUAAGGAAUAUCAUGUCAAAUAUGUUAAGUUGUAGAGACUCAAUCAUCUUUGACCCUAUAACCGUCAGUUCCUUUAUAGAAACGGCAUCAAAACAUGUCAUGAGCCAGUUCUGUCAGUGUUUUCUGUUUUCUUGACUUUGUCUUAUUGACAGUUUUCACUCAAACAAACAUUAAAUUCGUGUAACCUAACAUAUUAGACAACUAUUUAGCAUAAAGCAAUAAAUCUAUCUUUUUUGUUCACUGUGGACGUAAUCAAUCAUCAUAAUCGUGUGAACCACGAAAAUUAAUUGUGUCUUUGUUUUUCGUUUACAUUUAUUACUCCCUUAAAGAAAUCUUUUAUCGUUUGUUGAAAUACUUAAACAGUUAAACUUUAACAAAAUCUUUUCAAACACAGCAAAAUACGAUGAUAUUUAUGAUUGUCAUAAAAGAAAAACAGUGUUGUUUUUAAUAGAUACGCCAAUUUUAGUAUUAUAAGUUAGAAUAGUUAAUAUUAACUUUUUAAAACAAAACAAUGUUACUUAUUUACACUCAACACCCUAAUUGUUUACAAUUUUGAAAAAAGGUAGGCCAAAACAAGGUCAAUAAGGGACCCAUGUGUGAUAUUUUUCUAAUUUACAACACUAUGUCUGUUGAAUUGCAACAGAAAAUUUCAGAAAAAACAUGUGAACAACGCUAAUUGUCAUCUUAGUCUAAAUUAAUGGAAAAGAUGGUCAAAUUCCUGCAAUGAAAUGUCAUAUUAUGACUUUUUUUUUUUUUCCAAACACUUGAUUAUAUAAAGGAUUAAGCAAAAGUAACCCUGAAAUAAACAUGGGUUUGACCCAAAAAUAUCAAUUCAAAGAAAUCACAAACUAUUUAUAUUUAUAUGAUUAAACAAGUCUAAGUUGAAUUAGUUCAGACUUUUGUUAUUUUUCAAAUUGGUUCUAAAACCAUCUAAAAGGGUUUGGUACUACAGGGUUAAAGCGAUAUAAAUGAUAAUAUAUUAAAUUUAAGCAUGGUAAUUAGUUCAGACUUUUAUUAUUUUUCAAAGUUAGUUCUAAAACAAUCAAAAAGAAUUUAAAGAGAUAUACAUGAUAAUAUAUUAAAUUUAAACAGGGUUAGUUGUUAUGACUCAUGGUGGACCUUGAACAAUUAAUUUGGGGGUCGAAACAAAAUUACCGUUCUUAUAAAAACCAAGGGGGCUACAAUCCAAAUUUUAUAUUUUUAGGUCUAAUAUUUAUAAAAAUUAGUACGCUAUCACUACUUUUAAACAACAAAAAAACAAAAACAAAAACAAAAAAACAAGAGGGGUCACAACCCUUUCUACCCUUAAUAAGGUUCAUCAUUGGACUCGUGCAGUUUGAUAGAACUUUAAUGUCCCUAUGGCGCUUAAUAAGCUUCAUCCAUGGAGAGUUUGAUAGAACUUUAACAACGCAAAUACUUAACCAUUAAAAGGCUUGAAAUAGUCAUCUGAAUAAUUUAAUUUUGUUUUGUAAGAUUGUUCAACAGGUCAAUGAAAAUUUAUUUUAUCAUUUUAACUUUCUGCUUAUAAAACUAAUUACUAACAAACUAUCCAAAAAUUACAAAAUUGAUACCAAAAUACAUACCAAAACUUAAAUAAGAUAUAAAUUUUGAAUAAAGGAGCAAAUUUUGAACAAUUGCAGUUCAUCAACACUACUUUUAUUCCUUUAAAAAUGAAAAAAAAAUUAUGCUUUUUGGGAUGCUACAAAUGGGGGAAGAAGCGGGCGGCGCCAACUGGAAAAGAAGCAUGUGGCAUUAAGAACCUUGACAGCAGUGAUAACCAGAGAAGAAGAUGGUGUUUGUCUGUGUAUUUUUUGGGGUUGCCUAUGAGUUUAGAAAGAAAGAAUUAUACGACGACUUCUAAGAAAAAUAUAAGGGUGUUUAUGUUAUUGGGUAAUAAGGGUACACAAAAAAAAGGUUCAAACAUAAUUUUUAGUUGAAUGGUUUAGAUGCUCAUGCCCAGUUGCCCAAUUCAAUUCAGAGUCUUAAAUUUGGCUUAAAUUUGACGAAUCAAACUAUCUUAGUAGUUGAACGAUUUAGAGGGGUUAAGUGUGAAUGGAAGUAUUAACAAAGUGUCAAACAUGGCUAAUAAUAUCAGGGGCGCACCUUUUAUGGGGCCACGAGGG